UGUUUUUAUUUUUGUUCCUCAGAGAAAGACACAACUCCGUAAACAUCAAAAAGGCAAUUGGACUUUCUCUGUGGCCGCUCAAGCCAACAAGAGCUAGCAAAUUUUCUAACAUGGACUCACUUCACUUUGAUACUGAGUAAUAAGCUCACAGGCCGGCAGAGAUAGCUAACAUUAGGAGCCUUGUUAAGUUAAGCCUUAAAGGCAUGUAGAAAGAGAUCUGGAUGCAGCGUCAGAGGCAGGGACCCAUUGAUUCCCAUAAAAAUUGCAAAGUGAUGCAUGAAGCCAAAAAAGUUUGACUUCCAGGUAUAAAAUUACCCUAGCAUUUCCUUAAACCCCGCCUCCCAAAUAGUUGGUCAGGCUCGCUAAGUCUGGAUUUGGCUGUAAGGGAAUUUUACAACUUUUCAGACAUUAUGAUUUAAAUAAGGGCUAUUUAAGUGUUCGUACUGGGAUGUUGAUGUACCAAUGUCAGUGUACAGUGUAUUUACAGUAGAAGCCUCUAGUUGGUUGAUUCAGAAUUAAUUUAGCAUUGUUGAUCAAAUUAACAGGAAUUUAAUUCUCAGAAUCUGGUAGCAGUUGUUGAGCUUGCUAGCUUAGGAGGCAGGGACCUGAAAGGUGAGAGAGCAGUGAGAGGGCAGUGACAACACACCUGUCAUGAAAAGUGACAUUAUGAAAUAAAACCUGAGAUGAAAUUUCAAGACUUUUGAAAAAGGGCAUUUUGAAAUGUAUGUUCCGGAUCAUCUUAAAUUUGGGGGACUAUGUAUGAAAAAGGGACCUACACUGUUCACAUAAUAUGGACAAGGUUAAUUUCCAUCUCUAUAAAUCACCAUCAAGCACUGAGUGUUUUCUCCAUAUCUUGCUGUCCAAAAUAACCCUUUCCCUUUUCUUGUUUAGCUCUUUUUAGCUCGAUCCAUACCAACUCCUGAGGGAGAUAUUUCGUUCUCUCUUUAGCUGCUAAAUUCUCCAUAUGUUCACCAGCUAGCUCGUUCAGUCUGCCGUUUGGUACUGAGCAGGUAGAGGUUGGAGCUAUUUCGCUGAAAACAGCUGCCUGCUAUAGCUGAAACAACGCUAUGAGAGCAGUGAGAGUGAACCAGAACAGUAAAGUUGCAAGCAGGACAGCUAAACAUGAGCUGAAGGUCACAAGAAAGCUCUGUUAAGUCGAGGAACUGCAGAUUCAGGUGUUUAUGAAGUCUGAGGGGGCCAUUGGGAACCCAGUCGACUGGACUGUGUCUGAUGUGGUCAGUUAUUUCACAGCAGCAGGUUUCCCCGAGCAGGCUACUGCCUUCAGGACCCAGGAAAUCGAUGGCAAGUCUCUUCUCCUCAUGCAGCGAAACGAUGUUUUGACUGGCCUGUCAAUCAAACUCGGCCCCGCCCUCAAGAUCUAUGAGCGUCAUGUAAAGGUUCUGCAGAAAACGCACUUUGAGGAUGAGGACUGCUAACAACAAACACAUGAAAUACACACAAAGACUGUUAUGUUUGUAUUUACAUAUAGCUAAAGUAAUUCUAUAAAAAUGUAUGCAUGAUAUACACUUUUCAUCUUAUGUCAAACACACACACACACACACACACACACACACACACACCUCUGUUUCUCUUCCACAUGGCCCUCUAUGGCUGGUCCAGAAAGGACACGCAGAUAUGAGACUAGAUUUCCUGGACAACAAUGGUUUUCUACCAAAGAGAGCACAAAUGUUGGAGGGAGAAAGUAGACUCAUAACAUUUUAAGCAGAGGUUUAAAAAAAAAAGAAAGAAAGCACUUUGCAAUUUCUCAAUUAAACUGUGCAAGAUGUUUUGUUUUUUAGCUGUUUUUUUUUUGCGCUGACCUUUUUGCACAUUUUGAAAGUGUAUUCUGUGUGGAUGUAAAUUUGGGUUGGAUUUUGAGGCCGUGAUGCAAGCGUUUCUCAGUUGUGGGUGUGUGUUUGUCAUGUCAUGUGCGUGUACAGUACUGUAUGUGUGUGAAGGCUUGACAGAGCAUGUUGGAUUGAACAGAAACAAAUUAGGAGUUGACCAGAUUAAAUACAUUCCCAGGAGCGGGAGUGGAUGUUUGGGAUACUGACCCAUCAUAGUCGUCCUAUAGGUCUAAAUAACAUCUGGGUUUGAGACAGCGUGCAAAUGUUCUUUAGUCAAAGCAAUAAGCUGAUUAUUCCCCCCUAGAUGAUCGAGAGGGAUCUUGUCAGCUCUUACAUCUGCAGGUGGUUGACUUUGUGUAGCUUAAUGUUUCAGAUGAAAAUCCAUGACGUAGACUUGUUCAUAAUGUUUUGAAACAGCAUCACCACAUCAGGUGCCGGUUUCACAAAGCUAGAUCUAACUAGUCAGACUUCAGAUAAACAAAACUCUCAAGUUCUUAAGUAGGACUCAUUUGCAAUGGAUUUUGGACAAAUUAAGACCUUUUUUCAUACUAAAAAAACAUGGCUGACUCAUGCUCAGCUCCGUGCACUCCAGCAGAAAAUGUUUUGUGGAUGGAUUCAGCAUUUAUAAGGUUAUUUCUUUCUGGGGAAAUUCAGCAAAGAGUGCAACUAUACAACAAUAUCGAUUAGAAUAAAGACACAUGUAGCAGAGCCGAGGUGCUGUGGUUUCUUCAUAUAGCAGGACUUCUGCUAACUCGUCAGUCAGACUCAGGAUAGUUUAUUUGGACAAAUGAAAACGACUGACAAUGUUUUCACUGCUGCAUUUCUUAAAAGCUCCUUCCCUUAUUAUUACUCGCUCCACAACAUAGUUAGCAAACCACAAAUUAUGAGCUAUGUUUUCCUCUAUAUUUUUUGUCAUUUGGUGCUAUUGGUCAGCAGGUGUCACUGAAUGUUGCCAUGCAAACAUGGCUUUUAGUUCAGAGUUUGUCCAGCCUUGUGGAUGGGUGGCUAACGUUUUAGCCUAUAAACGUUUAACUUGCAUUAGACUAAUCUGAGAGCAGAAGUAACACCGGCCUAUGCUACAGACCAGUGUGAAAUAUCUGCAGACAUGCUGAUCAAACGCUCCAGCUAACUGAACUGAAAUCAGCACAUCAAUCAACUCUCAACUAGAUGUAAUAGAGUGAAAUAUUGUAAAUAUAUUGAAAAUAAGUCCAUUUAAUGCAUCAGCCUCCGUUUGUAAAUGAUUGAAAAACAAUUAUCUAACUGACAGAUGUUAUCGCAGGGUAAAGCUGAGUCAAUCAAUCAACUAAUCUCAUACCACCAGCAUUUUUUAACUGUUUGUACCAGUCAAACCUUAGAAACCAAAUGCUGUUAAAGGAUGACACAUCUCACUCCCACCUCCACAUUCCAGGUUUGGCAUCUCCCUCUGUGCAUGCAUUAUGAAAACUACUCUUUUGUAUGUUCUGUUUUCAGCAUUUUUGGUCUCAUUUUGUGAAUGUUUUAAUCCCCUCUCCAGUCACUAAUGUCCAAACCAACGCUUCUUUGUGCAUUCAAAACUCCUCUACCUCUCUUCCCUCCGUUUCCCCUUCGCUUUCACUUUCUUUGCAACUAUUUUCAGGUUCUUACAGUUAGUUGAAGGUGUAUUUUGCACUUGUUUGUUGCUACUGUUAGCAUUCAGUUCAUUUCAUUUUCAUUAAUUGAAUUUGUCGGAGAGGACAGCUGUGUUCAGUUUCUCGCAAAGGGGAUGUACAGUGCGUCUAUGCCUGUGUUGCUAGGUUAUUUGUUAAAGGGCAACUUUAGUAAUAAAAUUUUCAAUUAAAACACCA